CCCCUGGAGGACUAGUGGAUUGGCCUCGGUGCUCUCACCACUGCAGCACAGGUUCGAUUCCCAGCCAGGGAA